UAACAAAAUUAGGGGCUUUUAU
rnacentral:siRNA from 1 species